ensembl:ncRNA lncRNA:CR46229 long non-coding RNA:CR46229
UGUCAAAACCAAAAAUGUAGUACACCAUUAAAACCGACCAAAUGACCGUUUUCCAUGUUAUGAUGAGGUUCAAGUGUCAAGAGCUGUUAAGUGAAUAGUUUCAAUUACGAAGCCAUUAGGGAUGAAUCAUUAUUCCAAUUGGGAUCUAUACAUAGAAUUCGGCAGCAGUGAUAAACAUAUGCUGGGACCCAGAAACCGAACAAGCUUUUGGCCCACAAGGACAACAGUCGUGGGUAAUGGCUACGCUGGUAGAUGUAUGUAUGUGUCGGCGGAAUUUAUAGCUUACAGGAAGGUGUUGGCCAAGACAUCGUCGUUUGGCCAACAACUCGCAUUUGGCCAGCUGACGUGGUCCGAAUACUUCCGAAUAGCAACGAAUCGAAGGGAUUUUGGGAGGAAUCGAAGGAAUAGGAGAAUAGGAGACCGAAAUGGGGGUUUCUUGCAUGUAAUUGACAUUGGCCCCUUGCGUUUGAUUAAUUGCAUUUGGUUGAGGCUCUUCCAAGCCAUUGACUCGGAAUGCUCUGAAUUCCCCCAUUGAUCUGUAUCCGUGUCUAUGUAACCUUGUGGCCAUGUGUAGCUAGCUGCAUCCGUAAUCUGUAACCGUUUCAAUUUGUAUCUGUGUGCUUUUUGCGGGGCAAUAAAUUCGACAUGUUCGACAUGCUUUCCAAUUACUGAGCGCUGGCAUUAAACAAAUGCAGCACACUUGACACACGUCGAAAGCCGGCAGCCCUUUUCGGAGAUCGGAGUUGGAAGAUGGGUUAUCAGGAGGGAACAAGGCCAAACCUCCACGAUUCAGCGUGUCCAGCCAAGCAGGCCAAACACUUGGAAAAAUAUCACUUCGAGGAAUUUUGUUUAAAUAAGCAAAGUCCGAUUUUUGUAUUCAAU